UUUGCUAUCAAAUUCUUAAUAGGUCAUUGUUGUUAUCAAGUUGGCCAUGACAAAGUUGGCAGGGCAAGCGAGCAACUACACUUGAAAGGACCCUCAGUUUUGUGUCAGUCAUUAGCUACACAAAAAAAUCCCUAUAGACCUAUUACCUAAAACAUAAUAACAAAUCACAUAACUGCAAUCAUGAAAAUUUCUGUAAUUCAUUUGUACAAAUUCAGCCAGAGUUAGUAAUAAUUUGAUAUCGCAAGCACUCACUGCAGAGUAAUAUCCAAACUCUUGGAAAAUUACUGCCUAGAGUAAAGUAAACAAGCGCAAGAAUGAAAUCUUAAGAGUCAUCAACAUAGCCAACAGUACUAAAAUCACCUCCUUCUCAAUCUUCUUGAGUUGCUGCAAAAGCAAGGAAAUGUAUUAGGUUCAGAAAUUUAACAUUCUGUAUAACAAAUAACAUAAACAGAAUAUGUCGAAGUAUGGUACCUUUAAAGAAACCAGCAGGAUCCAUGAAUGAUACCCCUGUUAUGUAGUUGCUGGUGGGAUUUCGUAACUUCUUCUUCACUUUCCAAGUCAUUCCACCAGACUGCUUCUAGUUUGAUCUUUAGUGUGAAUCAUGAAUGACAAAUUAAGUGUGAAUCUACAGGGACACUUCAGAGAAACAAAUGCCUACAGACCCUUUCAACAAGAAUCUACAUUGAUACCCCUCUAUAAAUCAAGGUCCUCAUCGUCAAAAAAUAUUACAACUGAGCCAUCUACCGUGGUUUGGAGAAAGGCGAAUGUAGUAACUUACAAUCAACAUUGUAUUCUAUAUAGACUAGGGCUGGGCAAAACCGAUCUGAAACAUGCAUACCGAACCAAUCCGAACCGAAAAUAAGGUGUUUGCAUAUUUCCCUGUUCGGUUGCAGGCUGUUUUUGCAAAACACCUGCUUUGGGUGUUCGAUUGCAGUUUAAAAAAUUUCCGAACACCCAAAACCGAACCGAACAUGUAAUUCUGUAUACAAUCCAGCCAAUCUCUACAGCCCAUCUGUCCAACACUCCAGCAGUCCAGCUCAUCUGUUCUUCUUCUUCGAUAAUCAAGCAAAUAUGCAAUCCCUAAUCCAGCCUCCACAGCCUCCAUUAGUCCACUCCUCGUCUCCUUUUCUUCUUCUUCUUCAAAUUCAAAUCCAUUAACUUCUUUCGUCAAAAAGGAAAAAUACUCAAACAAGAAAACAAUUGAGAAGUGUUUUUCAAUCCCUAGUCAAUUGAAGUUUCAUCAAAAAGGAUUUUCGUCAAGUUAAAAGGUAAGUUUUUAUCUUUUUUUUGUUUCUAUUCUUCUUCAAAUUCAAAUCACUAAUUGAAAGCAAUUGUUUGAUUAGGGAUUUUAUACUGAUUUCAUCAAAAAAACCUUGGGAGUUUGACUUUUAAAGGAAUUCAAAUCCCUAAUGUUAUCUUUUUCAUUUGAUGUCUCAGUUUCAGAUUUCUUAUUUUAUAAAUUUGCGAUUUUAUAAAUUCAAUUGAUGAAUUUUGAUUGAUUGCGCGCAGUUUACAGUUUUAAUUGAUGAAUUUUAUUCUUCUUUUUGUAGUGUUCUCUAAUUAAACGGCUUCUAACUCAAAGUCAAAAGCACCUAUGGAUAUCACUUCCUCACAACCUAUGGCUAACUCUACUGCUUUCGCAUCUGGCUCUGCUGCUACCUCUGCGAGUACUGCAACUGGCCCAAACCCUCCAAAAUCUGGUAACAAAAGAUCACUUUGUUGGACUAAUUUACUUUAGUUAAGGAUUCUAAACUAAAACGAGCUACAUGUAACUAUUGUGGGCAACUUUAUGCUUGUGAAGGAACAUCUAAUGACACUAUUAAUAUGAAUAAUCAUAUACUCUUACGUAGAUGUAAGAAAUAUAGUUAUCCCACACCUAAUUCUCAAACAACUCUAGAUUGCAAAGUAACCAAGGAAGGGAAACCACAACUUGUACCGGUUAGUUUCAGUUUAGAAGCUUGUAGAAAAGCCCUCACUAAGAUGAUCAUUGUGGAUGAGUUGCCUUUUAGAUUUGUAGAAGGUGAGGGGUUUAAAGAAUUUGUCAAAAUGUUGCAACCUAAGUUUGUCUUGCCUUUUCGUCAAACUGUUGGUAGGGAUUGCCUUAAGCUUUAUAUAGAAGAAAAGAAGAAGUUAAAGAAUGGUUUGAAAGGGCAAAGGGUAUAUCUCACAACCGAUACAUGGACUUCAAUCCAAAACUUGAACUACAUGGUACCCACGGCCCAUUUUAUUGAUAGUGAUUGGAAAUUGCACAAAAGAAUCCUAAAUUUUUGUCAAGUUCCAAAUCACAAGGGUGAGACCAUUGGUAAGCUAGUUGAGAAAUGCUUGCAAGAUUGGGACAUUGGUAGUAUUUUUACAAUUACCGUUGAUAAUGCAAGUUCUAAUAAUGUUGCCAUUGAUUACUUGAAGUUAAACACAAGUCAUUGGGAAGAGACUAUUUUAGGACACAAGUAUAAGCACACGAGAUGUUGUGCACAUAUUUUUAUUCUUGUUGUUUCCGACGGUUUAAAGUUAGUGGAUGAGUCGGUUUUAAAAGUUCGUAAUGCGGUUAGAUUUGUGAGGUCUUCCACUCAUAGGCUUGUACUAUUUAACAAAUAUGUGAAAGAAGCCAAAUCAAUUGUGAUAAGUUGUUGUGCUUAGAUGUUCCAACUAGAUGGAACUCUACUUACAUUAUGCUUGAUGCGGCGGAGAAGUUUGAACUUGCUUUCAAACGAUUGGAUGGUAAUACACAAUACAAGAAGCAUUUUGCGGAUGAACAAUUUGGGAAGGACAAGGUUAUCUUGUCAGCUCCUAAUGUAAGCGAUUGGGUGAAUGUUAGACAAUUGGUGAAGUUCUUGAAAGUGUUUUACAAUGCCACACUACGAGUCUCCGGUUCUUUAUAUGUCACACAUCUAAUGUUUUUUUAAUGAACUUUACCUCAUUGAGAAUAGAUUGUCCAAACUUGCCACUAGUAUGAAUGAUCGGUUAAGUGAUAUUGGUUUAACUAUACAACAGAAAUAUUCAAAGUAUUGGGGUUUGGAUCGUGUUAAUCUUUUGUUGUACAUUACUAUGGCGUUUGAUCCUCGAAGGAAGAUAGAGUAUGUAUUAUUUUGUUUUAAAGAGUUGUAUGGUGAAUCAACCGCACAAGUUAUGAUUGAUAAGGUGAAUAGGAAAUUGUUUAAGUUGUGAAUCAACCGCACAAGUUAAGUCACACCUUAUCAACCAUAACUUGUGCACAAGUUAAGUCACACCUUGUUCUUCCCAAAUCGUUUACAUUAGGAGGUGACAUGAUAACCUUGUCCUUCCCAAAUCGUUCAUCCGCAAAAUGCUUCUUGUAUUAUGCAUUACCAUCCAAUCGUUUGAAAACAAGUUCAAACUUCUCCGCCGCAUCAAGCAUAAUGUAAGUAGAGUUCCAUCUAGUUCGAACAUUUAAGCACAACAACUUAUCACAAUUGAUUUUGGCUUCUUUCACACAUUUGUUAAAUAAUACAAGCGUAUGAGCGGAAGACCUCACAAAUCUAAUCGCAUUACGAACUUUCAAAACCGAUUCAUCCACUAACUCUAAACCGUCGGAAACAACAAGAUUAAGAAUAUUUGCACAACAUUUCAAGUGCAUAUACUUUUGUCCUAAAAUAGUCCCUUCCCAAUGACUUGUGUUUAACUUCAAGUAAUCAAUGACAACAUUAUUAGAACUUACGUUGAUAUAUCAACGGUAAUUAUAAAAAUACUACCAAUAUCCCAAUCUUGCAAGCAUUUCUCAACUAGCUUACUAAUGGUCUCACCCUUGUGAUUUAGAACUUAGACAAAAAUUUAGGAUUCUUUUGUGCAAUUUCCAAUCACUAUCAAUAAAAUGGGCCGUGAGUACCAUGUAGUUCGAGUUUUGAAUUGAAGUCCAUGUAUCGGUUGUGAGAUAUACCCUUUGCCCUUUCAAACCAUUCUUUAACUUCUUCUAUAUAAAGCUUAAGGCAAUCCCUACCAACAGUUUGACGAAAAGGCAAGACAAACUUAGGUUGCAACAUUUUAACGAAUUCUCUAAACCCCUCACCUUCUACAAAUCUAAAAAGCAACUCAUCCACAAUGAUCAUCUUAGUGAGGACUUUUCUACAAGCUUCUAAACUGAAACUAACCGGUACAAGUUGUUGUUUCCCUUCCUUGGUUACUUUGCAAUCUAGAGUUGUUUAAGAAUUAUGUGUAGGAUAACUAUAUUUCUUACAUCUACGUAAGAGUAUAUGAUUAUUCAUAUUAGUGGUGCCAUUAGAUGUUCAUUCACAAGCAUAAGGUUGCCCACGAUAGUUACAUGUAGCUUGUUUUGGUUUAGAAUCCUUAACUAAAGUAAAAUGAAUCCAACAAAGUGAUCUUUUGUUACCAGAUUUUGGAGGGGUUGGGCCAGUCGCAGUACUCGCAGAUGUAGCAGUAGAGCCAGAUGUUAAAGCAGUAGAGUUAGCCAUAGGUUGUGAGGAAGUGAUAUCCAUAGGUGCUUUUGACUUUGAGUUAGAAGCCAUUUAAUUAGAGAGCACUGCAAAAAGAAGAAUAAAAUUCAAUCAUAAUUCACCAAUUAAAACUGUAAACUGCGCCAAUCAAUCAAAAUUCAUCAAUUGAAUUUUAUAAAAUCGCAAAUUUAUAAAAUAAGAAAUCUGAAACUAAGACAUCAAAUGAAAAAGAUAACAUUAGGGAUUUGAAUUCUUUUAAAAGUCAAACUCCCAAGGUUUUUUUGAUGAAAUCAGUAUAAAAUCCCUAAUCAAACAAUUGCUUUCAAUUGGUGAUUUGAAUUUGAAGAUAAUAGAAACAAAAAAAGAUAAAAACUUACCUUUUAACUUGAUGAAAAUCCUUUUUGAUGAAACUUCAAUUGAUUAGGGAUUGAAAAACACUUCUCAAUUGUUUUCUUGUUUGAGUAUUUUUCCUUUUUUUACGAAAGAAGUUAAUGGAUAUGAAUUUGAAGAAGAAGAAAAGGAGACGAGGAGUGGACUAAUGGAGACUGUGGAGUGUGGAGGCUAGAUUAGGGAUUGCAUAUUUGCUUGAUUAUCCAAGAAGAAGAACAGAUGGGCUGGACUGCUGGAGUGCUGGACAGAUGGGUUGGAGAGAUGAGCUGGACUGUAUACAUAAUUACAUGUUCGGUUUGGUUUUGGGUGUUCGGAAAUUUUUGAAACAUCAACCGAACACCCAAAGCAGGUGUUUUGCAAAAACAGAAACUGCAACCGAACAUGGAAACAUUCAAACACCUUAUUUUCGGUUCGGAUCAGUUCGGUUUGCAUGUUUCAGAUCGGUUUUGCCCAUCCCUACUCUGAACAAACUCUUCAAUUCAAGGAGCUUUGAGACCCAAAAUUUUUGUAAGAAUCUUCCUAGGGCCGCAUUUUCAUCUACCUCUUCUCCAUAGAAAACAGCAUCCAUGUUGUCACAAUUCUCUAUCCAGCAUUCUCUCAUUUCCUUUACAUUUUCAGCACCCACAUCUGACAGCCUUGUCAGAAAAUUAUUCUUCUUUAAAUACAAAAGCUCCAUAUGAACAAGAACUUCCUCAAUACCAGCUGGGAAAGUUUGAAAACCACACAUUUUGAAAAACUUGUCAGGCUCUUCUGUAAUUGAAGGAAUAUGGCUGGUCUGAUAGCAGAUAUCUUUGUAGGGAUAUUGUUGUCCCUGCAAGUAAAUGUCAUUUUCUCUUAUCCGUUCUUUAGGAGCAAAUAAACAGAAAUGAAAUUUCUCGAAAGAUUUUCCAUUAUAAAACUCCCAAAGGCUGUUUUCCUCUUCUAGUUUAAGAAACCUUAGAUGAGCCAAUGCCGAGAUGCCGUAUGAAAACUCCCUAACUUUUAUGCAAGAAAGGUCAAGCACUUCCAGCUUUGGAAGAAAUUCCAUAUGGGGCAAUGUCUCCAAAGAUGAACAAUCUUUCAGUAAAAGAGUCCGUAAGUUCCGAAGUCUGGAGAAGAAUGAUGGUAACACUGUGAUUGGUUUGUAAGAGAGGUCCACUCUUUGGAGGUUAACCAUGCCCUCAAAAGACAAAGUCUCCAAGUUCAAGCAGCCUCUUAGUGAAAGUUCACGAAGCUUACGUUCCAGAAAGAUAUCAAUUCCUGGAUGCUUGAACAAUCAUUCAAUAAGAGUUGGCAGAGACCAUUGGAUCCAGAAAGAAAUGAUAACUCCUCCAGUCUUGUGAGCUCAUCUAGCGGAGGCAAUGUCAAGAAGUUUGGGCAAUCUCUUAAUGAUAGUUGAUGGAGAUCUAUGCGUCCAGAAAUGAAUGAAAGAUCUGAAAUCUGGGUUCCAGAGAGAUCAAGUACUUGUAAGUAAUUAUAUUCAAGACCAGGAAAUUGAUAAUGAAAUUUGAUAAAAAAAAUUGCUCUGGAAAGGUUAAGUACAUUGAGUCUUGGGAGAUCUUCCAAGUCCGGCAGUUUCUCUAACUUUGAACAUCCUCCUAAUAUGAGCUUGCGAAGAUUGUAGCAUUCGGAUAGUGAAGGGAUUUGCACAACCUGAGUUUCAGAAAGGUUGAGUUCAUGCAGUUCUUCCUUCUUUCCCAAGGACUCAUCUUGGAUAUGCUUGGAAGAAAUAGCACCCGAGAGAUCAAGAAGCACAAGUUUUUCUAGUGCAAUUAAAUGUGGAAGUGUCUCAAGAUUCAAACACUUUCUCAGUAUUAAUAGUCAAAGUUCACUGCAUUGUGAAAGUGAGGGUAGGUUUACAACCUGGGUUUCAAAGAGAUUGAGUGUCUUCAGUUUCCGUAGCUUGUCCAAGGAAUCGUCCUUGAAUGUCUUGGAAUUAGUAAAACCUGAAAGGUCGAGCACUUGAAGUCUCCGAAGCUCCAAAUGUGGUAGUUCUUCAAGCAAUCCACUUUCUCUUAAAAUCAGUUGGACCAUAGCAGAAUGCAUAGACAACAUAGCCAUUAAAUGCGGCAACCAAGGUUGAUCCUAUCCUCUGCAGAAAGAUAGGUGCAGGAUCGCAAGCACUCAAUAACAUCCUUUUUUACCUGAAUGCAAAGGUCGCAAACUUUAUUUGUUAACUCAUCGACAUCCCCUCCAGAAGAGACAAUCACAUAUGGUAGACCCUGAAAUGAGGCAACAAAAGGUUGUACAAUUUCACGUACAUAUGGAGAAUCAAUGUCUAACCCAGUUAUUCGCAGGAACAACGACCAAGCUUCAUCACUAUUCAAAGGUUCCACCCGGCAGACCUUAUCCUUGUCCAUGGGAGCAAUAUACUCAUUGGGCACAGAUAUUAACACUUUGGAGGAAAAAUUCUGUUGCCAAGGAUCACUAAAUCCAAAGUUCCCAAGAUCAACUUUGUCAUACCUGAAAUCAUAAUAAGGAGGUAACUCUUUUUUCCCAAUGCUAAAGCGACCUUCUGCAUAAAAUCCUCCUUUUCGUAGGAUUCCUCAUAUGGGGCUCUCUCAUAAUAGAUAACCCUAACUGGUCCACAAUAUGCUCCUGAGCUUCUAAGAAACUUGUCUGAUUCGAGUCCAUCCAGAUGACGACGUCGAAGAGAUUGGCAGCGAUUGCUCUAUCCUUCAACUGCCUCGCCAUCCAUGUCUUUCCCAUUCCAACUUCCCCUUCAAUGCCAAUUGUUCCAACACGGUCAUUAUUUAACCAUUUCCACACUGUUUCCAUGUGCUCCAGUUGUUAAGGUAGUAAUACCCCUUGGUAUUCAUAAUUAUCCGCCUCGAUCAUAGCCUGUUGAACGGAUAACUCCAACCUGCACAGUUACAAAUAAUACCAUAAAGAAUGUUACCAAAUCUUUAAAAAAAAAAACAAAAAAACGAAGAACUGGCUCAAUAAGGAGUUACUAUCAACAAAGCCAUUAUCUAUUUUAUAUACUUUGUGAGUUCGUAGACAUACAACAGCCAUUAAAAUUUUCUUUUUUGCUUAAACAAGGUAGUCGUUUCUUACCUGUUCCUCGAAGAAACUGAUUCCACUAAUUCAAUUUCCUCUUCAGGCCCUUGUGAAUUCAUUAACUCUUGAGAUGAAAUGUGCAAUUCAGAUAUGCUCUCAAGAUCCAAAUUGUUAACAAGAUGGUGCACAGGUUGAAGGGAUUCACGCAUCUUUCGAAAAGUCUCAAGAAUUUUCUGCACGCCAGUUGUGGAAUGCUCGAGUUCGGAUUCAGGUAGAUCCUGCUUCAAACUACUUAGAAUUUGCUCAAUUUUAGCUCCAAAUUGAUCCAACAGCUCAUUCAUUAAUACCAUGAUUAGUCCAAGAAGAAACCAAUCCUUGCUCUUACGAUUCUGAAAUUAGGUAGAUACAUGUCAUUUGUAAAGACAACAGUCAGAAAUUCAUGGUCGAUAUGAAGUUGUUCAAAACCUCAAUUAUUUGUGCAAUUUCACAUAUGUUUUCUUUUUAAAUAAGCAUGCAUGUCACCCAAGAACAUAGUUACAAAUUUACGAUUAUGCUUUAGCAUGUAUGAGCAAUAGUUACUGUCAUCCAGUCUUUAUAAGAAAAAUACGUAGCUAUAAUUGAUUUUAAAAACAUAAUAAAAAGAGGACUUGGAUCAUUAUUACAUUACGAGAAAAGACAUAAAAAUGGUUGUUUGUUGAAACCUCAUCAUAGCAAAUAUAAUGAAAAUUUUGUUCAAUGAUUGAGAUUACAAGAGCAUAGUGAAAAUAUUUGAUGAUAAAUAAGCAGUUAUAUGAAAAAUGUAAAAAAAAAAAAAAAACAAAAAAAAACGCACAUAGGAUUACAAUUUAAACACAUAGUCAGGAAUAUUGAUUACAGUUUAUCUGCAAAUUUUGAAAAAAUACAAAAAAAAAAAAAAAAAUCACAGUUUAGAAAAGACUACUAACCUUAGAGAUACUGUUGCAAGCGAUCAAAGCAAGCAAUCAAAUUAAAACCACAAGAAGAUUCCUAAGUGUUGUUUCAAAGAGAAAGAUGAAUCAAUUCCCCAAAAACUAAAAUCUCUUUUGUGAUGUUUAUGUCAUGAUGCAGGAAGAAGAGCAUUAAUGAAAAUUAAAAUUAUAUAAACUCCAUACAAAACAGGUAUUACUAGAAAAAUUCUCAAGUAAGUGGACUAACCUUCUGCUCUUCACUAUGACCAAAUCCUCUGCCAGAUCGCGCCUCGCCAAAAUUAACACAUUGAUAUUCUUCACCCCAAGACUGCAAUAUCUUUUGUGCUCUAGACAUAAUAAUAAUAAGCAAUCUUCCAAUUUCAUAAAAAUCCACCUUUGUGUAAAACAUUCUCACUAAUUUGAUCACAAAUUGCAAAGAGGUCAGAAAAAAAUUAUGCAAAGUGGGGAAUUGGGGAUCAUUAAAAAGAGAGAAUGUAGAGAAAGAGACAUGUAUACACAACCCCAAUUCUUAAUCCUCUACAAAGAAAGAAACAUGAAAUUUGGCUCCAAACCUCAAUUGCUUACUAUAUUUUCUCUAAUUCCUCACCUGACAUAAAAGUAAACAUGCCCCCAAAAUAAGCAUUUACCUCUGUACAUGGCCAUUCAUUUAAAAGUUGAAAAAAAAAAAAAAAAUCUGGACAAUUUAUAUUUUUCUUAACUUUUAAUCCUAGUUCUUCACCAUGAAUUUUAUGGAAUUUGGAGUAUACAAAUGAAACCCUCGUUAUGGAAUUUUAUAGAAGAAGCCUAUAACAAACUGAAUACUGUAUCAACAACAGAGAAAGAAAAUUAUAAACCAAGGUACAGUACACAAAGAACAUUAUCAAGGAGAAGGGGUUUGCAAUUAUCAGGUAAUUGAUAAUACUUAAAAAAAACCACCAAUAUCUUCACAAAAAAAAAUAAAUAAAUAAAAAAACUUAGAAAAGACCAUCCAUCUCAAUGAAAAAAAAAAAAAAUUCUGACUCACCUUCUGUUCUUCAUUUUGAGAUCCCAAAUCUCACAUUCCUCAUUUUCUUCAGAAAACCACCUCACUAAAUCACUAAUACUGCAACUCCUCUAUGUUGCUCAACAGGCCCUAUGUCAAGAACAUUCUUAAUUUUAAGGACCAUUACCUAUAUAAUAUAUAUGUUUAGGCCUUUGUUCUAAAAUAUUUUGCUGAAAGCCCCUUUCUUUCUUUUUUAUCUCCAUCUUAAACCCUUAAACCCUGAAAAACUUCAAAUGAAGCUUGUUUUCUCUUCAAAUGGAUUCAAAUCUAUCUCUCUCUCACCAUUUUCAACUAGGGUUUUUGGGGUUUUGUUCUAUUCAACUGAAACCCAAACUUCAAUUAAAGGAGAUAAUACUCUAUAUAAUAGAAUAUUUUCAAUUAGUGAUUCAAAUGAAUCAAUUGUUCCAAUUCUUGAUCAAUGGGUUCAACAAGGCAAUAAUGUUGAUUUAUAUAAAUUUAGAUCUUUGAUAAAACAACUUAAAAGCUCCAAACGUUUCCAACAUGCUCUCCAGGUAUCUUUCUCAAAUGCCAACUUUAUUGUAUUGGAACAAAUGGGGUUGCUAGAUAAUUGUUGUUAAGGGUUAUAUUCUUGUUGAGUUUUUUUUUUUUUUUUUUGGCUUUUGAUAGAAUUCAUAGAGAAAUGAAGUAAUGAACAAAUUAUGUUAGGUUUAUUGUAAAUGUUGAGUUAUGUAAUUGCAUUUGAUUCAUAAGGGGGGCGGUGUGCGAGACUUUGAUUUAUGCAUUUUUAAUUAAUAAAAGGGUUUCAUAUUAUAUGUUUGUUCAAGAGAAUUUAACUAGAAAUUACGGACUAUAUAGUGUAUAUGGACUUUCGAUAUGCUUGCUUGUGUUUGUUUGUAAUGUGAUUGUAAUUGUUGAGAGCUGUCGUACGCAUUGAGGUGUACAUAUUUUUGCAAAUUGCUUAUUCAUUUACUAGUUAGUGUUGUUAUGAAAUAUGCCAAUAUGGUGAUAAAGUUUAGAAGAAAUAGAAGUGGUGUAUUGCAGUAUUGGUGUAAAACACAUUAAUCUAUGGAGCACGAACUCAUGGAUGAGAUAUCGUAUUUGUGGAACCAAGAUAGUUUUAGGUUCAUGCGUCUGUAUAUAUUUUAGAGUUUAGACUACGCAUGUUAUAAUGCAAAUUUAACGAAAGUUUUCCGGUAAAAAACAGAUGUAGAAUAAGGCACAUUGGGUGAGGUAGUAUAUAAAAAGCUAUUUGUUAUCAUAUAUUACUGAAUAUAAAGAGCAACUACAUAGUUUCUCAGCAAUAGAAAGAACUUCUUACUAAUCUCUUCUUCUUUUAUUGCAGAUGUCUAAGUGGAUGAGCGACCAGAGAAACUUAGACAUCAUUCGGAGUGAUUAUGUUGUCAAGCUGGACUUGAUUACAAAGGUUCAUGGUAUUGAACACGCGGAGAAGUACUUCAAUGACCUUCCAAAGAAAUCUAAAACUUUCCAAAUCAACUAUGUUCUUCUCGAAAGCUAUGCACAUAUUAAAUCGGUUGAAAAGGCAGAGUUUCAUAUGGAGAAGAUGAUGAAGUUGGGGUUUGUGAAGUCACUGCUUGUUUACAAUAUAAUGCUAAACCUCUACUCUAAGGUGGGAGAGUAUGAGAAAAUGAACACUCUAUUAGAAAAAAUGGAUGAGAAGGCUGUACGUCCAAGUAAGGUUACAGUUAACAUUUUGUUAAAUGCUUAUGCAACCACCCUAGAGAUUAAUGAGAUGGAGAAGACUAUACAAAAGAUGGAAGCAUUUCCUGAUGUUGAGGUUGACUCGCUUUCUUACAUAAUUGCUGCAAACACUUACAUCAAAGCUGGGCUGAUUGGCAAUGCUUUGGAAAUGCUGAAGAAAUCAGAAGAAUUGAUUUUAAGUGAAAAAAGAUGGUCGUCAUUUGGUUUUCUUCUUACGAUGUAUGCUCACUUAGGAAGGAAAGAGGAUUUACACAGAAUUUGGAAUCUGUACAAAUCAUCAGCUAAAGUUUGUAACACAGGUUAUCGUUGCAUGGUAGGCUCGCUUCUCAAGCUGAAUGACAUUGUUGGUGCCGAAAAGAUUAUAGAGGAAUGGGAAUCUGGCGUCAAUUCCUAUGAGUUUUGGAUCCCAAAUUUGCUGCUUGCUGCUUAUUGCAAGAAUGGCCUUUUGGAGAAGGCUGAAAUAUUUGUAAAAAAUGCGAUGGAGAAUGGAAGGAAGCCUUAUGAAACUACGUGGGACAUAUUAGCAACUGGGUACAUCAAUGCUAAUCAGAUUCCUAAGGCAGUUGAGGCUAUAAAAGAGGCAUUAUUGGUAAGACGACCAAGCUGGAAGCCAAAACGUGAUACUCUCUCUGCUUGUUUGGUAUACUUAAAACAGCAAGGGGAUGCUAAGGAGACAGAGGAGUUUGUGAGAAUACUUGGAAUUCCAGGGCAUACGUCAACAGCUGAUUGUGAGGGACUGUUAGAUUCUAUGUAUAAAGAAGCAGAAGUUGAAAAAGUGAAUGAGAUGGAUGGAGAUGUUUGGCAACUGGAUCCGUUAAAGUUAAAGAGACGCCCAAAGCAUUUGAGCCUUUGAAAACAGCUUCCUGCAUUGUGCACUUCAAAGCACAGAUGCGUGUCUUUGUUACCGAAGGAUAUCAUGAUUAUAUAUCUUUUAAUUAAUUUGCAGUACUUUCCUCGCAAAGUGAUACCAAUGUUAGAUUGCACGUCUGGGAAAGUGUAUCACAAAUAGACAGAGAUGCAGAUUCCAGACUAGUUGUGGGGAAGAAUCGAGACUUGUUACUAGAGCAGGAAGCCAUAAUUUAGAUUCGAGAGCAAAGAUAUGAGAAGAAAUUGCUGAAGAUAAUGAUAUUGGUCUGUCAGAAAAGGAAGGGUAUCAAGUUCCAGAAUUUGAGCUUCUACUGGGAACGUCACUUGUCAAAUAUUAGAGGAACCCUCGUGGAUUAUAGAAGCAGAAGUUGGCAAAGGGAAUGAGAUGAAUAUGAAAGACAGUUUGAGCAAUGAUAAGUUUCAAAAGAAGUUUACGUAGUGCUCAACAUUCUUGUUAUUAAUACCGAUGCAUUUUAUGUGAAUAAUAUGUAAUCUGGAGGUUCCUAGUUGACAACAGUGUCGUAUACUUGUAUGAGAAAAGCUUAUUUUUGUGCUUUGUUCAGUAAUAGAAUCUGCCAUGUUUUGAGAAGUUAUGAAUGAACAUUUUACUUGGUUUUUGGAAUAACCUUCCACAGUGCAUCUUUAGCUGUAUAUAAUCUGCUUUCAUUAACACCAUAAUAUUUAGCUAAAUUUUCAAAAUGGUUUUGACAUUGUCUCAUUUAUCUUGUUCGUACGGAGUGUCAAACAGGUUUGUUAAAAACAUCUGCCAGUUAACGUACUGGAGAAGAUCGAACAGAUUUGAUGGGUCUGUGCCUUUGUGACGUUGUCAGAUGGUAAGAGAACAUUGAAUCUUUUUUCCUUGAAAAUCGCCAUGUAUACUGACAGUGGAAGAAUAACAGCUAGAGGAUGAAUUUACAGGUUAUAUUGAAGCUCGGCCUGCUCUGCAUGUCAACCAGGCCUAUAUACACCCCUAAAGCAAUGUACUGUAGAUCAACUCAAAAUUACUGUCAACAAAAGGCCAUCGACCGGUGUUCAUCUGACAUUUCCAGUGACAGACCUAAUCGAUUAGUACGGUGGCGAAUAAGAAAAGGCUUGGGUGUUAAUAGCAGAAUAAAAAAAAUGAGAAAAAGUAAAGCCCAAUAGACUUUCAAAAUAGCCUAAUAAUCUUACUAAAAGUCUAAAACCCACCAUUUCUUCUUAAACCCUCCAGCAGUUUCUCUCUCUCUGUAAAACCAGAGAAAAUGAGUGUGGUUUUCUCUUCAAAUGGCUUGAAAUCAUUACAACUUCGCCCAACAUUUUCAAGGGUUUUUGGGGUUUUCUUCUACACAACAAAAACCCAAACUUCAAUACCACCAAUUGAUAAGAAAGAUACCCUUUACAAAAGAAUAUCUCCAUUAGGUAAUCCAAGGGUUUCAAUUGUUCCAAUUCUUGACCAAUGGGUUCAAGAAGGUAAACCUGCUAAGCCAAAAUAUCUUAAAGAUAUGAUACAUGAGCUUAGAAAGUAUCGACGAUAUUCACAUGCUCUUGAGGUAACAAUUCUAUUCUCUCUUCAUGUUUUUUUUUACUCUAAAAUUAUGAUAUUUUAUUGUAUUGAUUCAUUUUUAUAAACGAGUUACACCACUGCACCAGUUUACAACGAGUUACACCACUACACCAGUAGCAUUUAUAAAAAAAUGACCUUGUAAAAUGUUUUCGCAUUUGGUAAUAACCUUGCAAAUUGAAUUUCUGAAAGAACGGUAGUGAAAACUCAAGUAAAACAAGUAGUAAACAACUAAUGAGAGGAUUUAUAUGUGCAUUAAAUAACACAAAACUUUUGUGAUAGUUUUUUUAUUCACGAUAUGUGCAUUAAUUAAAUGCAUUUCAAAUUAUAUGACUAAUUUCUAUCAUCUUGCUUAUCAUUUUGGCUUGUUUUGAGGGCUUUUUCAUCACCGCUCAGGCUGUACUGAGAGCCUAAGGGCCAUUUUGACAGGCCUACUCAUUUUUUGUAGUCUCAAGUGUUCAUCACCACCUAAUUAGGAAAGUGUCAUAGGCAUGGAGUUGUUUAUCCUUCCAGAAACUUCGAGAAUAACUUCUUAAACAAGAGGCGUUACUAAAUCAAUAAGCCAUUAUUGAGGUGUUAUAGGGUUGGCCAGAGAUAAGAGCGAGUACUGGGGGAAAAUUCAAGUGGCCUAUGUUACCUCCAUAAAUUGUCCGUCGCUACCAAUCUGUCCCAUCUCACACAAUUUACCCAAAAGGGCAGUUCCUGAGGUUGAAAUUUCCAAAGUGAAAAUGCGAGUAGGUUAGUCAGUAAGUGUACUACGUAUCUAUAUGUCCUUCAAAAUCAGCAUCGAUGUUUCUGGCUUAUAGGUCCUAGGCGUGUCCUCUGUCGAAAUGGAAGCAGUUGGAACUGAGAAUGUCUCUGUCAAUACAUUUGCCUUUCUCCUACUCUCAACCAUCUGAGGAACUGAAUUCUUUGUUAUAGGUCCUGCGUUGUCUUUCGUUUCAUCGUUGCUUGAUUUUAGAUCAGGUUAUACUCCUGUAAGGUCUUCAACCUAUCCAAGGCAUGGAUUUGGAAAGCAUUAGGGUCCAAGUAAGAAGAGCUUUUAAGUUAGGCUUUUUAGCUUUUGUUUGCCAGGAAACCACAAUUUUUCUGGAUCUUGCAUCUCAAGGGAGUGAUUUUUUUACCCGACCUAUAAUACGGAUAUAUUUUAUAACUGCCUACUAAGGGGAGUUGAGGUAUAUAACACAGAUCAUUGCGUUAUUUACAUUCAUCUCAUUUACAUAAAACAAAGAAAAUUCCUGAAAGUUACCGUAUCUUUUUUCUUUCAGAUUUCUCAUUGGAUGACCGAUCGAAGGUAUGUUGACCUUUCACCAGGUGACGUUGCUAUCAGGCUGGAUUUGAUUUCGAAGGUUCAUGGCAUUGAACAAGCAGAAGAGUAUUUUACUAACGUUCCAAAGCAAUUCAAAGUUUUCAAGCUCUACAAUUGUCUUCUCAAUUGCUAUGUCCAUAAAAAAAUCAUCGAAAAAGCAGAAGCUCUCAUGCAGAAGAUGAGGGACAUGGGCUAUUUGGAGUCAUCAGCGUACAAUGCAUUGCUAAACUUGUACUUCCAGGUUGGACAGUAUGAGAAAAUAGACAACUUAAUGGAAGAAAUGAAAGAGAUGGGUGUAACUCCAGACAAGUUUACAUUUAGGACACUGUUGAGUACGUAUGCGGCUACCUCUGACAUUGAUGGGAUGGAGAAGACUAUACAACUGAUGGAAGUAGAUCCCAACAUCAUUAUAGAUUGGAACUCUUAUUCUAUUGCCGCAAAUGGAUACAUCAAAUCUGGGCUUAUUGACAAGGCUUUCAAAAAGCUGCAAAAAUUAGAGGAAAUAAUCCCCAAUAAAGAAAUGAGGUCUGCACGUGAUAUUCUCCUUUCCCUGUACGGAGCUGCAGGGAGGAAAGAGGAUUUGUAUAGGAUUUGGAACUUAUGCAAGUCAUUUGGAAAAGCGUAUAACUCAUCCUAUAGUUGCAUGAUCGUCUGCCUGUUGAAAAUGGAUGACAUUGCAGGCGCGGAGAAGAUUCUGGAGGAAUGGGAGGCUGGACACAGUUCCUUUGACUUCCGGGUUCGAAACCGGCUGAUUUCUGCAUAUUGUAAUAAUGGCCUUCUGGAGAAGGCGGAACUGUUGAUAAAUAAGGCAAUCGAGAAAGGGGAGAAGCCAUAUCCAAAUACAUGGGACAUUUUGGCAUCAGGUUAUAUUAAGGCUAAUAAGAUGCCAAAGGCUGUAGAGGCCAUGAAGGCAGCAUUCUUAGCUAGUAAACCGGGAUGGAAGCCAUAUCGUGAUAAUUUAGCUGCCUGUCUGGUUUACUUAAAACAGCAGGGAGAUGUUGAAAAAACAGAGGAGUUACUGAGACUACUUGGGGGCCCUGGUUAUAUGUCAACAGACGUUUGCGAGAGAGUAAUGGAUUGUUUCUAUACAUCUAAACGAGUAGAACCAGUCGAAGCCAGUGAGGUGGAGAGUAAUGAUUCGAUUGUUGAAGAGACAAAUCAAAACACGAAUGAAGGUACCUAAGAGUUGGUGGUUGAGCAACUAUGCAUUAUAUUAAACAUACAAUUGGCACACUCAUGCGGUUGACAAUAGUGCAUGUUACUUCUUGUGAUUUGCCUAGUCUUCACAUAGACAACGAUGAGUGGAAAUAACAUAUGCUAACCAGGUUAGGAAUGUAUUUGUUUGGGAUUUAUUGAAUCUAUAAUGUCUUAGAUCUUCAGUGUUCUUUCUGUUUAGCCUGGCGAUCUAAACAUAUAGCUAUUUUGACAGAUGUCAUCGUCGUAAAUCCAUAUCAAAAUUAUGAUUACUUUGUUAGCAUUUUUGUGUUUGUUAAUAAAAUUUCAGAAAAACUUGUCUUAGAAAGCAGUUCUUGAAGGAUUUACGCCAUGGAACCGAUGAACUACCUGUGGCAGCUGUGUUGUUUUUUUGUCGUAUACUUAAUUGAUGGACUACAAAACCAACAGUAUGGAGCUCGAUAUAGACAGCGCCAGGUCGACAUUUAUGAAUACUGGACUCUGCUGGUUUGCUGGUGUUGAUAGUAGCCAAACUCUGACAUGUUUGGAGGUCAAAUAAUUCUAUGGUGAAGUAAUAAAUGACAUAGGACUUAUUGUCAUUGACUCAUUGUAGUUUACAAUGUCAUUUGACAUUCCAAUAUCCUUACCGCCGCGGCCUCCAACUCCAAUAGAUCCAAAUUGUGUCUACUUCUCAUCACCUCUCCUGCAGAUAUAUAGUUUGUUGUUCUGUAUGCAUGUAACUUGAGGCUCUUACAUACUGUAUGCAAAGAAGAAGAAUUCUUCUUCUUGAGACUGGGUUGAAUAGACCAAUUAUAUCUCCAGUAUUGUUGCUGCUGUCAAAUAUUAUUAGCCAACCCUCUAAAGAUCCACAACAGGUACUCAAUAAUUUUGUGGAAUGAUUUGGUUGAUGAUUUGAUUGUGAUAAAAAAUAGUGCUUAUUGUUGUGUUUGUGUUGGAUAAAUAAUAAUGCAGAAAGGUAAGUAAAAGCCAUUACUAUUUAUAUUUAUACAAUACAUGUGUUUGGCAGUAGAUCAGAUCAGAGAACUUUAGGCUCUUGCUGAUUGCUAAAUAGACGCGCACAACAACACUACUAAUCUUAAUAAUAAGUACCUAAAAAAAAAAAAGAGGGACAUGCUACAUUGUUACCAGUUCAGAACGGGUACAACUAGAUUUCGACAACGAAAAAUCUUGGUUUAUCUGUUCUAGUUCUUCAUCUGAUUUUGCUAGAGAUAUUAUUUGUUCCAUCCUUUUCUUUAGGUCAUCACGUUUUUUUCUGAGUUUACCUAUUUCAAGCUCUUGUUCUGCACAUAUUUUCUUUAGGUCUUCUAGUUUACGCCUCUUCAAUCUUAUAGCUUCAGUUGUUGGAUAUGUCACCUUUUCUUUAUUAGUUGCUGGAUGUUUUGAUAUUGUUUUAUCCUUCUUCCACAUGCCAUUAAAUAACUUGUAUAAUUUCAGAACUGCACUGCACAUUUAUUUACUUCGAUGUCGGUGCCUGUAAUCAUACUGUCUAUUCCAGAACGCAAUCUUGAAGGACAGCUGCGCUCUGUGUUCUUUUCUUGUCAUUUAAUGUGCUCUCUAAGAAUAUACUUGUGUUGUUAUACAUCUUUUAGAAGAUUGAGCUACGCAACUCCUUUGAGGAACUCAAGUUUUCUGCAAAGAAGUUGGAGUAAUAUGUAAUAUUAGUCUGCUGAGUUUAUACCUCUAGGUUUUGCAACUGAACAACUACUCUACUUAAGAUUGGAAAGACCCUAGAGGUUGAUGAGCUAAUAAUGAUGAUGCUAAACAACUUUAAAAUUCCAAGAAAGUAAGACUGCAAUAAAUUAAAAAACAAAUUAUCUGUCUCUUGAACAGUUUGUAAAACCUCAAUUACUGUUUCUCGAACAGAUUUGGAGUUGAUUGAAUCAAAUAUGCAACACUCCCUUGUCGUAUCUCUGAUCAUUUGUACUUUUUCAUUUUAAUUUUAAAAUGAUGGGAAAUAAUUCUUCCGUUUUUUUAGCUUACACCAAUAUCUCAAUAUCUUUUUGUGCAUGCAUUUCCAAUCAAAAGUUUUGAUUCCCACAAGAACUAUACAAUAGGUUUAGUCUAGAUUCCAAGGUUUCUAGAUUUAAUAACAAAACUAUAUAAAGCUCUUGCUGUUGAGUCAUGAAAAUUGAAUUUUAUAGGAUCGGAAUAACAUGAUUGUGAAAGGCUGGAAUAUCAAAAUAUUAGCAUACAUUUAUUCACCAAAACAAAAUGAAGCCCAACAACAGAUGUUCGUUUUUAGUCGAUAAAGAACCACUAAAAUUAAUAAUAUAGGUAAUGUACUUAGGUCUGUUAUUCAAAAUUAGGCAACUAACUCUCAAGUUAUCUUAUUUGGGCAAUGUACUACCAAUUUGCAUUUACGUGGCUUUGUGGCCUAUAAUGAUAUGUGGACAUAUAAUUUUAUUUUUAAUUUUUUUGAAUUUUUUUUUAAAACACUUGUAAGAACUUCUGUUUUU
rnacentral:lncRNA from 1 species